UUCUAGCAACUACUUCUCCUGCUUCUGGUCUGUGUUUUGGACUUAUCAUUUAUUUGUGCCCUCCCUUUUGGUCAUCCGUGCUGGCCAAGCCUUUGGGACAGUUUACCCCAUUCUGACGUCUAUUCGGGUUUUCCAGGGGUGACCAGAUUUAUGACCAGCGUGUUAAAUGCUUACAACACAUUUUGGACACCUAAAUCACACUGUUGCAGCUCAGCAACUGUUAAAAGAGCCACCUGCCAUUGCAAGCUUCCUUGAGGAAUCCCACAGAUCUCAAUACCUAGGAAGGGCUCCAAGCAGGAAGGAACUUGAGCUUUCAAUCCAGUACCCACCAAGGGAUGAAUAUAGUCAGCAGCCACAUGAGCUGGAUUACCAGUGGGUCCCUCCCAAGAUGACCCUGUGAGGACUACAACCCAGGUAAUAUCUCAUUGCAGCCUUGUUAGAGGCUCUGAGCCAGAGGACCCAGCUAAGCCACUCUCACA